UGGGGAAUCUUGCACAAUGGGGGCAACCCUGAUGCAGCGACGCCGCGUGAGCGAUGAAGCCCUUCGGGGCGUAAAGCUCUUUCGACCGGAACGAUAAUGACGGUACCGGGAGAAGAAGCUGCGGCUAACUACGUGCCAGCAGCCGCGGUAAUACGUAGGCAGCAAGCGUUGUUCGGAGUUACUGGGCGUAAAGAGUGCGUAGGCGGUUUUCUAAGUUCGGUGUGAAAUCUCCCGGCUUAACUGGGAGGGUGCGCCGAAGACUGGGAAGCUGGAGUGUGGGAAAGGCAGGCGGAAUUCCUGGUGUAGCAGUGAAAUGCGUAGAUAUCUGGAAGAACACCAGUGGCGAAGGCGGUCAACUGGCCCAUAACUGACGCUCAUGCACGAAAGCGUGGGGAGCAAACA
rnacentral:rRNA from 1 species